ensembl:rRNA 5S_rRNA 5S ribosomal RNA
ACAAGAGUCUACACUGCCUAAAGAGCAUGUGAAUCUCAUCUGACCUCGGAAGCUAAGCAGGGUCGGGCCUGGUUAGUACUUGGAGGGGAGACCACCUAGAAAUACCAGGUGCUGGAG